AUGGAACAAUGUAGGCAAGGGAAGUCGGCAAAACGGAUCCGUAACUUCGGGAAAAGGAUUGGCUCUGAGGACUGGGCUCGGGGGUCCCGGCCCCGAACCCAUCGGCUGUCGGCGGAUUGCUCGAGCUGCUCACGCGGCGAGAGCGGGUCGCCGCGUGCCGGCCGAGGGACGGACCAGGAAUCGCCCCUUCGGGGGCUUUCCCCGAGCAUGAAACAGUCGACUCAGAACUGGUACAGAAAAGGGGAAUCCGACUGUUUAAUUAAAACAAAGCAUUGCGAUGGUCCUCGCGAAUGCUGA
rnacentral:rRNA from 1 species